rnacentral:rRNA from 1 species
AUGACGGUGCUAGCAUGGAACUGUCCAGGCCUCGGGCAACUUCGCACAGUUCAAGAACUGGUGUGCCUCGUGCACACAUACAAGCCCAAGCUCGUCUUCAUCUCUGAAACGCGGCAGAAUAAUAAGUAUGUUAAGAACCUCAAGUGGAGGCUAGGCCUUCGCCAUUGUAUCACGCAACCCGACAUUGGAAAAGGUGUCGGCAUUUCCCUAUUUUAUGAUGAGAAUGUUGAAAUAAAAAAGAUUGCCGCUGCUUGUUGUUUCAGAAAUGUCACUGUUGAACAUAUUUGUUCUUCAAGGUCUGAUCAUCUCCCUAUUCUCCUAAGGGUGGGAAGUAAGGAGUGGAGACCAGUAGAUGAGAGGAAGAGUAGCAUUUUUAGAUAUGAACAGAUGUGGGAGAGGACAGAGUCUCUGAAGAGAACCAUAGAUGACACCUGGCUGAAGAAUGGGCCGGCUGCAAGUAUGCGAGAGGUCUGUACGAAGCUGAAUCACAUGCAGUCUGAACUGAGUGGAUGGGCAAAGAGUGAUUUUGGUUCAGUCAUUAGGAAAACAGCAUAA